GAUCAUGGCUCAGGACGAACGCUGGCGGCGUGCCUAAUACAUGCAAGUAGAACGCUGAAGGAGGAGCUUGCUCUUCUGGAUGAGUUGCGAACGGGUGAGUAACGCGUAGGUAACCUGCCUGGUAGUGGGGGAUAACUAUUGGAAACGAUAGCUAAUACCGCAUAAUAACAGUUGUUGCAUGACAACUGUUUGAAAGGUGCAAUUGCAUCACUACCAGAUGG
rnacentral:rRNA from 1 species